AACAGUGUAAGUAAGGGAAGUCGGCAGAUUGGAUCCGCAACUUUGGGGGAAGGAUUGGCUCUGGGUGCCGAGUCAGACAAGCCGAGAUCAGAUAUGUGUCGUUCCAGUUGGAGGCUGGUUUCUUUGCUGCUUUGUGUGCUUUGAUGCGCAUUGUUUUGGAGUUACUGGACUCUGACUGUGAUCGAUGGUUUCAGCUGUUAGUGCUGUAUGGCAAACGACGUGCGUGAACUUGCUCUGCGUUGCGUCAAGUGGCUAUGCUCCCAUUGUUUGGUGCGUGACGGCUAACUUAGAACUGGCACGGACCAGGGAAAUCCAACUGUCUAAUUAAAAAUAAUCAUUGCGAGUAACUAUGACACACUAAUUAGAACCCAGGUCGGUGACGUUGAUUGACCUGCAAAGCAGGAAAAAUCAUAAAACUUAAGGUUAAUGAGGGUUAAAAUGGCCAAUAAAUAGUUUAUAACAUUCUUUGUUUAUCUAUCUUCAUU
rnacentral:ncRNA from 1 species